rnacentral:lncRNA from 1 species
GGACAGUUCCUUGUGUUUCACUGAAGUGUGUUUUCUUCUUUAACUCAGGAUCCUCCAGAAACAUCCUCCGUCUGAACCUGGUCCCAGCUGUGAGUCCCUCAGUGACCGGUCUAUGGACAGACCAAUAAACUGCAGGACAGAGCGGAUCCUCCAGGAACAUCCUCCGUAUAAACCUGGUCCCAGCUGUGAGUCCCUCAGUGACUGGUCUAUGGACAGACCAAUAAACGUCAUGACAGAGCGUGUUGACGUCAACCCAGACGGUUCUGAACCAGGCCCCAACUGUGAGUCCCUCAGGAGCGACCGGUCCAUGUGGGAACCAGAGAACUUUUCCUCAGAUCUAGUGGAGCAGGCUCCAGAGCUCAGAGCUCAGCAACAUCACACUCAGCUGGACUCCAUAUUUAAGG